UACGUAGGUGGCAAGCGUUGUCCGGAUUUACUGGGCGUAAAGAGCGCGCAGGCGGUCGAUUUAGUCGCGUGUGAAAGCCCCCGGCUCAACUGGGGAGGGUCACGCGAUACUGAUCGACUCGAAGGCAGGAGAGGGUAGUGGAAUUCCCGGUGUAGUGGUGAAAUGCGUAGAUAUCGGGAGGAACACCAGUGGCGAAGGCGACUACCUGGCCUGUUCUUGACGCUGAGGCGCGAAAGCUAAGGGAGCAAACGGGG
rnacentral:rRNA from 1 species